AGUGUUUAUAUCAAAACACAUUCAUCUUCUACUAAAACAAAAAACAUUUCAACUCUUUACACACACACACUCUCUCUCUCUCUCCAUGUGUUCGAGCUAACCAGAAGCAAACGUUCGAACAUGGCCGCAAAGCUAAAUGUGCGAUUACAAUCACAGGAUUGAAGAAAUGGAUAUUAGUUCCUCGAUGAUACAGAAGCCGGUCAGUUUCCCGUCACGCACAACCAAACUAUUGCUGCUUUAGCUCCGACAGUGGGUGGCUAUCAGAGCUAUUAGAAACCUGUAAUAGUGCAAAAGCAGACUUAAAGGUUAUCAUGACGAUCUGUAUCAUACCUAACGAACACGUGGACCUGUAGCAAAUAUAUGAGGCAUAUUUGGGUUAUUCUGUAUUACAAAUUGCCAAUAGCUUGUACAAAACUUGCAAAAAGAAAUAAAGAAAAGUCAAAUAUCUUCCCAUUAUUACUAUUUUUUUAUUUUUUUUUAGAAUUGUGAUUCAAUAAUCAUGCUGUUACAGUAAUAUCAUGGCUCUGUUUGCCAAUACCAUAUUUUGAGCUUAUAGCUUAUAAGCUCAUAAGAGAAAUAAAGUCUCAUUUGGCAACAUUUUUUUAUAUCUCAUUAUGAGUUCAUAGCUUAUCAUUUUUCC